rnacentral:piRNA from 1 species
GCUAGAGUCAUAGAAGAGGGAUCCUCAAU